AUGUUCGAGUCCUGGCUCAGGAGAACGCGGCGGCAGGCUUAACCCAUGCAAGUCGAACGGGAAGUGGUGUUUCCAGUGGCGAACGGGUGUAGUACGCGUAAGAACCUGCCCUUGGGAGGGAACAAACUGGAAACGUUUCUAAUACCCCGUAGGCUUAGGAUCAAAAGGAGAAAUCCCCAAGGAGGGGCUCGCGUCUGAUAGCUAGUUGGUGAGGCACUAGCUUACCAAUGCGAUCAGUAUCUGGGUCCAAGGAUGAUCAGCCACCUGGGCUGAACACGGCGCCAGACUCCUACGGAGGCACAGUGGGAUUUUCCGCAAUGGGGCUAAAGCCUGACGGAGCCUGCCGCGUGGAGGGGAAGGCCUACGGGUCGUCAACUCUUUUCUCGGAGAAUAAACAAUGACGUAUCUGGGGAAUAAGGCAUCGGCUAACUCUGUGCCAGCGCCGCGGUAAGACAGAGUACUCAAGCUUUAUCCGGAAUGAUUGGGCGUCAAACGUCUGUAGGUUGCUUUUCAGUCCGCCGUCAAUCCCAGGGCCAACCCUGGACAGGCGGUGGAAACUAAAACCAAGCUGAGUCGGUAGGGCAGAGGAAUUUCCAGGUUGCGCGUUGAAAUUCAUAUGAGAUCGGAAAGAACACCAACUGCGAAAGCACGCUGCUGGGCCGACACUGACACUGAGCGAAAGCUAGGGGAGCCAUGGUGAUUAGAGCCCCCAGUAUUCCUAGCCGUAAACGAUGGAUACUAGGUGCUGUGGCGACUCGACCCUUGGCAGUGCUGGUAGCUAACGCGUUUAAUAUCCCUCCUGGGGAUACGUUCGCAAGAAUGAAACUCAAAGGAAUUACGGGGGGCCCGCACAAGCGGUGGAUCAUGUUGUUUUAAUUCGAUGCAAAGCGAAGAACGUUACCAGGGCUUGACAUCCGCGAAUCCUCUUGAACGAGAGUGGUCCCUCAGGGAACGCGGACCAGUGGUGCAUGGCUUGCGUCAGCUUCGUGCCGUAGGUGUUGGGUGUAAGUCUCGCAACGAGCGCACCCCGUGUUUAGUUGCCACUAUGAGUUUGAACCCCUGGAACAGACCGCCGUUGUAAGCCGGAGAAGGGAGGAUGAGGCCAAGUCUCCUUCCCCUUAUGCCCUGGGCGACACACUGCUACAAUGGGCGGAACAAAGGGUCGCGAUCUGCGCGAGUUGAGCUAACUCCAAAAACCCUUCCUCAGUCGUAUGCAGGCUGCAACUCGCCUGCAUGAGCAGGAAUCGCUCUUAAUCGCCGUCAGCCAUGCGGUGAAUCCUUUCCCGGGCCUUGUACACACCGCCCGUCACACUAUAGGAUCUGGCCCAGUUUGCAGUCAUACCCUUAAACGUAAGGAGGGGAUGCCUAAGGCUAGGCCCUUGCGACUGGAGUGAAGUCGUACAGGUAGCCGUAACUGGAGGUGCGGCUG
rnacentral:rRNA from 1 species